UACGUAGGGUGCGAGCGUUAAUCGGAAUUACUGGGCGUAAAGCGUGCGCAGGCGGUUUUGUAAGCCAGAUGUGAAAGCCCCGGGCUUAACCUGGGAAUGGCAUUUGGGACUGCAAGGCUGGAGUGUGGCAGAGGAGACUGGAAUUCCUGGUGUAGCAGUGAAAUGCGUAGAUAUCAGGAGGAACACCGAUGGCGAAGGCAGGUCUCUGGGCUAACACUGACGCUCAUGCACGAAAGCGUGGGGAGCAAACAGG
rnacentral:rRNA from 1 species